UACGUAGGGUGCAAGCGUUAAUCGGAAUUACUGGGCGUAAAGCGUGCGCAGGCGGCUUUGCAAGUCGGGUGUGAAAUCCCCAGGCUCAACCUGGGAACUGCAUUCGAGACUGCAUUGCUAGAGUAUGGGAGAGGGAAGUGGAAUUUCAGGUGUAGCGGUGAAAUGCGUAGAUAUCUGAAGGAACAUCAGUGGCGAAAGCGACUUCCUGGACCAAUACUGACGCUCAUGUGCGAAAGCGUGGGGAGCAAACAGG
rnacentral:rRNA from 1 species